rnacentral:rRNA from 1 species
UACGGAGGGGGCUAGCGUUGUUCGGAAUUACUGGGCGUAAAGAGCGUGUAGGCGGCCAGACAGGUCCGUUGUGAAAACUCGAGGCUCAACCUCGAGAUGUCGAUGGAAACCGUCUGGCUAGAGUCCGGAAGAGGAGUGUGGAAUUCCUGGUGUAGCGGUGAAAUGCGCAGAUAUCAGGAAGAACACCUAUGGCGAAGGCAGCACUCUGGGACGGUACUGACGCUGAGACGCGAAAGCGUGGGGAGCAAACAGG